GAUGAACGCUGGCGGCGUGCCUAAUACAUGCAAGUCGAACGGAGAUUGUAGCAAUACGGUCUUAGUGGCGAACGGGUGAGUAACGCGUUGGUAACCUGCCCCGAAGCGUGGGAUAACGGUCCGAAAGGACCACUAAUACCACAUGUGAUCCCGAGGAAUAGAUACUUGGGAUGAAAGGAGCAAUUCGCUUCGGGAGGGACCUGCGUCCCAUCAGCUAGUUGGUAGGGUAACGGCCUACCAAGGCGAUGACGGGUAGGGGACCUGAGAGGGUGGCCCCCCACAAUGGAACUGAAACACGGUCCAUACACCUACGGGUGGCAGCAGUAGGGAAUAUUGGUUAAUGUGCGAAAGCGCGAACCAGCAACGCCGCGUGUGCGAUGAAGGCCUUCGGGUCGUAAAGCACUUUUUGCAGGGAAGAGGAAGGACGGUACCUCGCAGAAUAAGUCUCGGCUAACUACGUG
rnacentral:rRNA from 1 species